rnacentral:rRNA from 1 species
CUGCUGCCUCCCGUAGGAGUUUGGGCCGUGUCUCAGUCCCAAUGUGGCCGUCCACCCUCUCAGGCCGGCUACUGAUCGUCGCUUUGGUAGGCCGUUACCCUGCCAACUGGCUAAUCAGACGCGGGCCCAUCUUAUACCACCGGAGUUUUUCACCCUGGGCCAUGCGGCCCUGGGCGCUUAUGCGGUCUUAGCACCUAUUUCUAAGUGUUAUCCCCCUGUAUAAGGCAGGUUACCCACGCGUUACUCACCCGUCCGCCACUAAAGUAAAAAUUU